AUCUGGGCGGCGGAAUUCAGGACGGCUGGCGGGUCUCGCGCUCGUUCGGCCGUUUGAUAUUUCCGUCGCCGUGUCAGACGUCGCGACCUGUUUGUCGUCGGUCCUUGCUCGGAGGAAUUGCGAUCGAGUUCGUUGCGGGCGCGUUUCGGCGUGCUUCGCGGCGAAGACGCGACUCUCUGGCUGACGACGGACAGUAAGCAACGGUGUCUGGCGCCGUGUCUCGCACUCGGCGUCGGUGCCGGUCAGCGACGAUUUCUUCGGGCCUCUUUCCGACCCGUCUUGAAACACGGACCAAGGAGUCUAACAUGCGCGCGAGUCGCGGGGUUUCGAGCGUACCACGGUGCGCUCGUUACUUCCGAAACCCGUACGUUGAAGGCGUAAUGAAAGUGAAUAGGGAAGAUGGCGUUCCGAGACCACGUACCGUGAUCGAGUAUCGCGGCCGGACGUCCGCACUCCCGGGGCGUCUCAAUGGUUCGCCACGGAUGCGGACGAUCGUCUUUCGGGGCGGUCGUCGGUCUGUGGCGGUCCGA
rnacentral:rRNA from 1 species